UGCAUCGGCCGGGAAUCGAACCCUGGCCGCCCGCGUGGCAGGCAAGCAUUCUACCACUGAACCACCGAUGC
rnacentral:tRNA from 1 species